GCUGUGGAGAGCAGAUCCUGCCCCACUCCCUUCUUGUAAAAAGGGAAAGGUGCAGAGGGGGAACUCCUAGCUCAAGGUCACCCAGAGUCAGGGGCUGGAAGAUCAGGCUCCCAUCCAGUUUGCCUGUGAUUUGACUUCCUGUGUCCAGGAAGACAGGUCCUGGGGGAGGGGCUGCCCCCACCCCAUCCCCAGGCCCUGACAAGGGGCCCUAGAUUCUGGAACAGUGCUUGGCAAAUAUACAAUUUUUCCAGCAGAGCCCUAAUAUUAUAUGGAGAAGGUGAAAUGGUGUGGGGUGGGCUUACCCACCUGUUCUUCCUGCAAUUCCUAUACUGUUUUCUCUGGUUUUGACCAGUAAGUUCCAGAGGUUGCCCCAAGACACUGCAGGCCACACUCUCCAGAUUCUCAUUCAGGAAGUCUAGGGUAAACCCAGACAGCAGAUCUUGUAGAAUCAUCCCAGACUUCAUAGAGCCUCAGGAUGCCCCACCUGGACCACAGAGCUCGGUUGGUCGAACCACCUCAUGGAACAGUUCAGGAAACUGAAGAGGAAGGAGCCAGAAGGAGAUGAUAUCUGACACCCAGAUCUCCUGACUUCUGGAUCAGAAUCUGUAGUGGUUCUUAAAUGUUGUGGGGUACCAGAUCCCUUGGAGAAUCUUUUGAAAAUUAUGGAUCUGGUAACAUAAGUCUGAGGUCAGCUGUGCAGUGGGGCUCAGACCCAGGACUGGGCUGAAUCUGCUUUUUAAAUUUAAUUAACUGGGCUGUGGACGUGGCUUAGUGGUAGAGCACUUGCCUGGCAUGUGUGAGGCACAGGGUUCGAUUCUCAGCACCACAUAUAAAUAAAUAAAGAUCCUUUGACAACU